rnacentral:rRNA from 1 species
UACAGAGGGUGCAAGCGUUAAUCGGAAUUACUGGGCGUAAAGCGCGCGCAGGCGGUUCUUCAAGUCAGAGGUGAAAGCCCAGAGCUCAACUCUGGAAUGGCCUUUGAGACUAGAGAACUAGGGUACGGGAGAGGUGAGUGGAAUUCCGAGUGUAGAGGUGAAAUUCGUAGAUAUUCGGAAGAACACCAGUGGCGAAGGCGGCUCACUGGCCCGUUACCGACGCUCAGGCGCGACAGCGUGGGGAGCAAACAGGG